UACGUAGGGACCAAGCGUUGUUCGGAUUUACUGGGCGUAAAGGGCGCGUAGGCGGCUUUGUAAGUCACUUGUGAAAUCUCCGGGCUUAACUCGGAACGGCCAAGUGAUACUGCAAUGCUAGAGUGCAGAAGGGGCAAUCGGAAUUCUUGGUGUAGAGGUGAAAUUCGUAGAUAUUCGCAAGAACACCAGUGGCGAAGGCGGCUCACUGGCCCGAUACUGACGCUGAGGCACGAAAGCGUGGGGAGCAAACAGG
rnacentral:rRNA from 1 species